rnacentral:rRNA from 1 species
CACGUAGGGGGCGAGCGUUGUCCGGAUUCAUUGGGCGUAAAGGGCGCGCAGGCGGCUCGGAAAGUCGGGUGUGAAAACUCGGGGCUCAACCCCGGGCGUGCAUCCGAUACUGCCGGGCUUGAGGCAGGUAGGGGAGAUCGGAAUUCCUGGUGUAGCGGUGAAAUGCGCAGAUAUCAGGAGGAACACCGGUGGCGGAAGGCGGAUCUCUGGGCCUGUCCUGACGCUGAGGCGCGAAAGCGGUGGGGAGC